CAGUAGCCACGGGAAUACGAAGGGGGCUAGCGUUGCUCGGAAUCACUGGGCGUAAAGGGUGCGUAGGCGGGUCUUUAAGCCAGGGGUGAAAUCCUGGAGCUCAACUCCAGAACUGCCCUUGAUACUGAAGAUCUUGAGUUCGGGAGAGGUGAGUGGAACUGCGAGUGUAGAGGUGAAAUUCGUAGAUAUUCGCAAGAACACCAGUGGCGAAGGCGGCUCACUGGCCCGAUACUGACGCUGAGGCACGAAAGCGUGGGGAGCAAACAGGAUUAGAUACCCCCGUAGUCCCUGUCUCUUAUAC
rnacentral:rRNA from 1 species